GUCUCGCAGAGCGACUCUCAACGAGGACGUUGAGACUUUUCGAAAAAAAAAAUGUUUUUUGGCUUAAUCCGCCUUUACUAAAGAUCAAGGAGCAACAUGCGUACUCCGGCGGAGUUUUUUUUCAAAUCCAAGUUUGACUCUGUCCUUAGCGCAAGCGCUAAGUAAGCUAGCACCUUAUGGUUUUUAAUGUAAAAAAAACCGAGGAAAAUAACGUCAAGUAGAAACGAACAAGGUCUUACGGCACGAUCACUAUAUCUUUUCUUUUUUUUUUUUUUUUUUUUCCCCUCUCGAGGGGACGAUACGUGGCGUGGUAUACCUAAUCGUUUGGUGUCAACGAGACGUACGUAAGUCGACAUAGCUCCAUGUAUAUGUUCUUUGGAGCUAGAACCCAUAAAUAGAAUGAAAUGAAAUAAUGGUGAGCCUAGGGCGACGAACAUAACAUGGCUCAAGGGUGUCUAUACAAAGCCCUUCUCUUCUUCAUUAAUAAAGAGGCAAUGCACUCUUUGAAUGGUACUUGAUUCAUAAAGAAUGAAUCUUUUGGUUAGAA
rnacentral:misc_RNA from 1 species